CGGGUUAGAGCCUGGUUGGUUAGGCGCCUCAUUUGGGUUGAGGAUUUUUUAUGUUCGAAUCAUAAUAACCCGA
rnacentral:tRNA from 7 species